rnacentral:rRNA from 1 species
UUAGAUGAGCCUACGUUAGAUUAGCUAGUUGGUAAGGUAAUGGCUUACCAAGGCUAUGAUCUAUAGCUGGUCUGAGAGGACGAUCAGCCACACUGGAACUGAGAUACGGUCCAGACUCCUACGGGAGGCAGCAGUGGGGAAUAUUGGACAAUGGGCGAAAGCCUGAUCCAGCUAUGCCGCGUGAGUGAAGAAGGCCUUCGGGUUGUAAAGCUCUUUCAAUAGGGAAGAUAAUGACGGUAC